UGUGUGUUAGUGGAAGCGUCUGGAAAGGCGCGCGAUACAGGGUGACAGCCCCGUACACAAAAAUGCACAUACUGUGAGCUCGAUGAGUAGGGCGGGACACGUGGUAUCCUGUCUGAAUAUGGGGGGACCAUCCUCCAAGGCUAAAUACUCCUGACUGACCGAUAGUGAACCAGUACCGUGAGGGAAAGGCGAAAAGAACCCCGGCGAGGGGAGUGAAAAAGAACCUGAAACCGUGUACGUACAAGCAGUGGGAGCCUCUUAAUGGGGUGACUGCGUACCUUUUGUAUAAUGGGUCAGCGACUUAUAUUCUGUAGCAAGGUUAACCGAAUAGGGGAGCCGAAGGGAAACCGAGUCUUAACUGGGCGUUAAGUUGCAGGGUAUAGACCCGAAACCCGGUGAUCUAGCCAUGGGCAGGUUGAAGGUUGGGUAACACUAACUGGAGGACCGAACCGACUAAUGUUGAAAAAUUAGCGGAUGACUUGUGGCUGGGGGUGAAAGGCCAAUCAAACCGGGAGAUAGCUGGUUCUCCCCGAAAGCUAUUUAGGUAGCGCCUCGUGAAUUCAUCUCCGGGGGUAGAGCACUGUUUCGGCAAGGGGGUCAUCCCGACUUACCAACCCGAUGCAAACUGCGAAUACCGGAGAAUGUUAUCACGGGAGACACACGGCGGGUGCUAACGUCCGUCGUGAAGAGGGAAACAACCCAGACCGCCAGCUAAGGUCCCAAAGUCAUGGUUAAGUGGGAAACGAUGUGGGAAGGCCCAGACAGCCAGGAUGUUGGCUUAGAAGCAGCCAUCAUUUAAAGAAAGCGUAAUAGCUCACUGGUCGAGUCGGCCUGCGCGGAAGAUGUAACGGGGCUAAACCAUGCACCGAAGCUGCGGCAGCGACGCUGAUGCGUUGUUGGGUAGGGGAGCGUUCUGUAAGCCUGUGAAGGUGGCCUGUGAGGGUUGCUGGAGGUAUCAGAAGUGCGAAUGCUGACAUAAGUAACGAUAAAGCGGGUGAAAAGCCCGCUCGCCGGAAGACCAAGGGUUCCUGUCCAACGUUAAUCGGGGCAGGGUGAGUCGACCCCUAAGGCGAGGCCGAAAGGCGUAGUCGAUGGGAAACAGGUUAAUAUUCCUGUACUUGGUGUUACUGCGAAGGGGGGACGGAGAAGGCUAUGUUGGCCGGGCGACGGUUGUCCCGGUUUAAGCGUGUAGGCUGGUUUUCCAGGCAAAUCCGGAAAAUCAAGGCUGAGGCGUGAUGACGAGGCACUACGGUGCUGAAGCGACAAAUGCCCUGCUUCCAGGAAAAG
rnacentral:rRNA from 1 species